GACGAACGCUGGCGGCGUGCCUAAUACAUGCAAGUAGAACGCACAGUUUAUACCGUUGCUUGCUACACCAUAGACUGUGAGUUGCGAAUGGGUGAGUAACGCGUAGGUAACCUGCCUGGCAGCGGGGGAUGACUAUUGGAAACGAUACCUAAUACCGCUUAAUAUUCAUUAUUGCAUGGUAAUAAAUUGAAUUGUUCAAUUUCACCACUACCAGAUGGACCUGCUUUGUAUUAGCUAGUAGGUGAGGUAACGGCUCACCUAAGCGACGAUACAUAGCCGAACUGAGAAGGGGAUAGGACACACUGGGACUGAGACACGGCCCAGGAUCCCACGGGAGGGCGCAGUAGGGGAACUUCGGCAAUGGGCGAAAGUCUGAACGAGCAAAGGCGCGUGAGUGAAGAAGGUUUUCGGAUCGUAAAGCUCUGUUUUAAGAGGAGAACGGGUGUGGUAGUGAACAGUUCACACCGUGACGGUAUCUUACCAGAAAGGGACGGCUAACUACGUG
rnacentral:rRNA from 1 species